UACCUACGGGAGGCAGCAGUAGGGAAUCUUCCACAAUGGACGAAAGUCUGAUGGAGCAACGCCGCGUGAGUGAAGAAGGGUUUUGGCUCGUAAAGCUCUGUUGGUAGUGAAGAAAGAUAGAGGUAGUAACUGGCCUUUAUUUGACGGUAAUUACUUAGAAAGUCACGGCUAACUACGUGCCAGCAGCCGCGGUAAUACGUAGGUGGCAAGCGUUGUCCGGAUUUAUUGGGCGUAAAGCGAGUUCAGGCGGUUCAAUAAUGCUGCUGUGAAAGCCUUCUGCUCAACCGGAGAAUUGCAUCAGAAAA
rnacentral:rRNA from 1 species